CAGCCGCCGCGGGAAUACGAAGGGUGCAAGCGUUAAUCGGAAUUACUGGGCGUAAAGCGUGCGUAGGCGGUUUGUUAAGUCUGCUGUGAAAUCCCCGGGCUCAACCUGGGAAUGGCAGUGGAUACUGGCAAGCUAGAGUGUGUCAGAGGAUGGUGGAAUUCCCGGUGUAGCGGUGAAAUGCGUAGAGAUCGGGAGGAACAUCAGUGGCGAAGGCGGCCAUCUGGGACAACACUGACGCUGAGGCACGAAAGCGUGGGGAGCAAACAGGAUUAGAUACCCCCGUAGUCCCUGUCUCUUAUAA
rnacentral:rRNA from 1 species